rnacentral:rRNA from 1 species
GACGAACGCUGGCGGCGUGCCUAAUACAUGCAAGUUGAGCGCUGAAGGUUGGUACUUGUACCAAAUGGAUGAGCAGCGCACGGGUGAGUAACGCGUGGGGAAUCUGCCUUUGAGCGGGGGACAACAUUUGGAAACGAAUGCUAAUACCGCAUAAAAACUUUAAACACAAGUUUUAAGUUUGAAAGAUGCAAUUGCAUCACUCAAAGAUGAUCCCGCGUUGUAUUAGCUAGUUGGUGAGGUAAAGGCUCACCAAGGCGAUGAUACAUAGCCGACCUGAGAGGGUGUGCGGCCACAGUGGGACUGAGACACGGCCCAAACUCCUACGUGAGGCAGCAGUAGGGAAUCUUCGGCAAUGGACGAAAGUCUGACCGAGCAACGCCGCGUGAGUGAAGAAGGGUUUCGGAUCGUAAAACUCUGUUGGUAGAGAAGAACGUUGGUGAGAGUGGAAAGCUCAUCAAGUGACGGUAACUACACAGAAAGGGACGGCUAACUACGUG